rnacentral:rRNA from 1 species
UACGUAGGGUGCAAGCGUUAAUCGGAAUUACUGGGCGUAAAGCGUGCGCAGGCGGCGCGUUAAGACAGGUGUGAAAGCCCCGAGCUUAACUUGGGAAUUGCGCUUGUGACUGGCGUGCUGGAGUGUGGCAGAGGGAGGUGGAAUUCCACGUGUAGCAGUGAAAUGCGUAGAGAUGCGGAGGAACACCGAUGGCGAAGGCAGCCUCCUGGGCCAGCACUGACGCUCAUGCACGAAAGCGUGGGGAGCAAACAGG